UUGCGCCCUGAAUCAAGGCCAACAACUUGUGGUAGCUGUUGGUUUCAAACAGCGGCCAAAAUUGAAUUCUUCAGAUGGUCUGUUGAUUUUCCCAGACAAAAUGGGAAAAAUCAGUUCAGUUAGAAGACACAUUU